rnacentral:lncRNA from 9 species
AUGCUGGAUGAGGAGGACACUGACAAAGACGGGAUGAGUUUGGAGGUCGACACUCCAGUGACGAACCAUCGGGGUGACGACGACGAUGACGAAGAAGAUCUCCCCGAGAUAGUGCUGGAUGACGUGCCUGCGGUGAGGGUGGCGGGACGGCCUCCAUUCGCUCCGCGGGUAAGUUGGGUUUUUAGUCUGAGCUCGCAGUGUUGCUCUAUUUCCCCUCCGUGGACAUUAAGUUAUGACAGCCUGAGCCUGCACGUUCCAGACCAUGUGGACGGUUCCGAGGGUUGGGACUCCAUGUCAGGCGCGUCUGUUGCCAACUCCCGAUGCCUGCUUCCGCAGGGCAAUGCGAUAACAACACCUGUCCCAGCCUGCAGAGGACAGAGCUCCUUCUCCAGAAGCAUCUUUUCCUCGAGGGAAAGAGUUCUGUCAUCUCCAACUGACAUGGCCUUGGACAUCCCGUCGUCUAGGACAAGUUCUUGCCUUUGUCCCCGAGGAGGGUUUGCUCUGCCUUUGCUGGGUUCUCUGGACUCCACCGCUGUUGUGCAUCGGGGUUUCUGCUGUCACCAAGUGAAGGAAAGACCUGUGCAAAUAGGUGGCCUUGUGGUCUGAUCCUCAUGGCACUUUCUCCUCUUGUCAUUGCAGGUGGCCUUCAUGGUGAACAAAACACGUAUGUAUGCUGGAAGCACUCAUCUGGGGGGAGGGGCCCCUUAGAAGGUGAGGCAGGUGGCGCAGUCUUGCUGGGUUUAUUUAUUUGUUUUUAAUUGUUGUUUCCCCAGGGCAGGUUUUGUUUUUUUCCCCUUUCUUCCGGCCGUAGGGCAUGGUGACCCGGUUACACAUACAUGCACAUGUUCUAUUUUCGCACAUUAUCAUGCUCCAUCAUAAGUGACUGGACAUAGCUCCCCAGGGCUACACAGCAGGCUCUCACUGCCCAUCCAUUCCAAAGGCAAGAGUUUGUAUCUAUUAACCCCAAGCUCCCCAGCCGCCCCAGUCCCUCCCCCUCCCCCUCCCCUCUCCCCCUUGGCAACCACAAGUCUCUUCUCCAAGUCCAUGAUUUUCUUUUCUGUGGAAAGGUUCAUCUGUGCCUCAUGUUAGACGCCAGAUACAUUCUUGCUGGUUUUGGUGUGGAGGGCCGGAGUGUUUGCAGUUUUGUCCUUGGAGUUAGGGUAGCAGGUUUGCUGAUGGAAAGUGACUUACAGGUAAAGUCACGGGCCAGGUACUGUAGUCCCAG